rnacentral:rRNA from 1 species
AUACGUAGGUGGCGAAGCGUUGUCCGGAUUUAUUGGGCGUAAAGCGAGCGCAGGCGGUUGCUUAGGUCUGAUGUGAAAGCCUUCGGCUUAACCGAAGAAGUGCAUCGGAAACCGGGCAACUUGAGUGCAGAAGAGGACAGUGGAACUCCAUGUGUAGCGGUGGAAUGCGUAGAUAUAUGGAAGAACACCAGUGGCGAAGGCGGCUGUCUGGUCUGUAACUGACGCUGAGGCUCGAAAGCAUGGGUAGC